GGUUCGAUCAUGGCUCAGAUUGAACGCUGGCGGGAUGCUUUACACAUGCAAGUCGAACGGCAGCACGGACUUCAGUCUGGUGGCGAGUGGCGAACAGGUGGUAUAUGUAUCGGAACGUUCGUAGCGGGGAUAACUGCGCGGCCAUUAGCUCGCCUGCAUCGCCCUUCGAGGAAAGCAGGGGACCUUCGGGCCUCGCACUUCAGCCGACAGCCGAUAUCGGAUUAGCUGAUUGGUGCAGGCUGUGGCUCGCAAGGCGACGAUCCGUAGCUGGUUUGAUGAGGACGACCAGCCACACUGGGACUGGGAACGGCAGACUCCUACGGGAGAGGCAGCAGUGGGGAAUUUUUGGACAAUGGGGAAGCCUGAUCCAGCCAUCCCGCGUCACGAUGAAGGCCUUCAGGUUGUAAAACUUACUUUUGGCGGAAAGAAGCAGCACGGGAUAAUACCCCGUGCAACUGACGGUACCUGCGGAAUAAGCACCGGCUAACUACGUGCCAGCGUAGCGGUAAUACGUAGGGUGCAAGCGUUAAUCGGAAUUACUGGGCGUAAAAGCGUGCGCAGGCGGUUCCGGAAAGAAAAGAUGUGAAAUCCCAGAGGCUUAACUUUGGAACUGCAUUUUUAACUACCGAGCUAGAGUGUGUCAGAGGGAGGUGGAAUUCCGCGUAGCAGCGGUGAUGCGUAGAUAUGCGGAGGAACACCGAUGGCGAAGGCAACCUCCGGAUAACCGCACUGACGCUCAUGCGCGGCGUGGGGAGCAAACGGGAUUAGAUACCCUGGUAGUCCACGCCUAAACGAUGUCAACUAGCUGUUGGGGCCUUCGGGCCUUGGUAGCGCAGCUAAGCACGUGAAGUUGACCGCCUUGGAAAUUCACGGUGCCGCAAGACCAAAACUCCGAAGAAUUGACGGGGACCCGCACAAGCGGUGGAUGAUGUGGAUUAAUUCGAUGCAACGCGAAAACCUUACCUGCCCUUGACAUGUCUGGAAUCCCGAAGAGAUUUGGGAGUGCUCGCAAGAGAACCGGAACACAGGUGCUGCAUGGCU
rnacentral:misc_RNA from 1 species